rnacentral:rRNA from 1 species
CCUACGGGAGGCAGCAGUGGGGGGUAUUGCACAAUGGGCGGAAGCCUGAUGCAGCGACGUCGCGUGAGGGAUGGAGGCCUUCGGGUUGUGAACCUCUUUCGCCGGUGAAGAAGGUCCUGCUCCUUGUGGUGGGGCUGACGGUAGCCGGGUUAUGAAGCGCCGGCUAACUACGUGCCAGCAGCCGCGGUAAUACGUAGGGCGCGAGCGUUGUCCGGAAUUAUUGGGCGUAAAGGGCUUGUAGGCGGCUGGUCGCGUCUGCCGUGAAAUCCUCUGGCUCAGCUGGGGGCGUGCGGUGGGUACGGGCUGGCUUGAGUGCGGUAGGGGAGGCUGGAACUCCUGGUGUAGCGGUGGAAUGCGCAGAUAUCAGGAGGAACACCGGUGGCGAAGGCGGGUCUCUGGGCCGUUACUGAC